UGCGGAUGUGGCGGAAUUGGCAGACGCGCCAGACUUAGGAUCUGGUGGGCUUCCCGUGCAGGUUCAAGUCCUGUCAUCCGCAU
rnacentral:tRNA from 1 species